CAAACACGACCACAGAACACAGUGUGGAAUUUGAACUGGUGAUGUGAGAGUGUUCCUGCGAGCAAGAGCUGCAGCAGGGCAAACAGCAGUGCCAUGGGUUGGCAUGGCUCUAAUGAUUCUGUAAAAUGUCUGAGAGGUAGACAAAUAUCAAAAAUCAAUGACUGAAUAUCAGAUGAAGCAUCACUGGAGGGAAGACAGGUUGAAUUGAUAUGGAUGUCAUGCAUGAGAAAGACAUUACAGAAUAACAAAGGUGUCCUACUGCUUUUAGCAAGUGAGAACUGUACACCAGCGGGAUACCACUGUCUCCUUGCCCUUGACUUUUCAAUAUGAGAAGUCUCUUGAAUGGUUCACUGACACUUCCAUGUCGUGGCUGCUUCUAAGGCAUCUGAUUCUUUAAGCA